CCCUUAGAUGUUCUGGGCUGCACGCGCGCUACACUGACACACGCAACGAGUCUCCUGCCCUGACAGGGUCGGGUAAUCAUUUGAGUGUGUGUCGUGAUGGGGAUAGAGUAUUGCAAUUAUUGCUCUUGAACGAGGAAUUCCUAGUAAGCACAAGUCAGCAGCUUGUGCUGAUUACGUCCCUGCCCUUUGUACACACCGCCCGUCGCUCCUACCGAGGGGGUGAUCCGGUGAAUGAUUCGGACUCUGGUGCUUCUAGCUGCUAGAUGCGCCGGAGGAAGUUUUGUGAACCUUAUCACUUAGAGGAAGGAGAAGUCGUAACA
rnacentral:rRNA from 1 species